GGGGUGGGCAUGCAAAAGAUUGAAAGGGAUCUUUUGCAAACACAAUCACGUCCUUAAAUGGAAAUGCGGGGCUUGAAACAAAUCUUCCAUCUCUGGCGUCGCAUUCGCCUCAAAAGUGGGCAGUGGGCCGCACGUCGCCCUCCUCGCGGACGCCAAAGUGCUGCCGUUGAACUCGCUUUCCUCUUUCUUCUUCUUCUUCUUCUUCUUCUUCUUCGUGGUUGUCGUCUCGACACACGCCAACCUUCACGCGUGCGUGGUCGAUUUAUUGACAGCGGUGUUGGGGUGCACGUGACAUAUUUGGGGGCGGCUUUGAAAGGUUCGGGUGAAGAUAAGCAGAGGAAUUUCAGGCCAGUGAAUAUGGAUUGGGUCUCGACUUAUAGAGAACAGCACUGAUACCGAGCGGCUGAGUGAGGAGUUGGUGGGCGGGGCCUCCAGCAGUGCACCUGUCAUGAGUUUGACAAUCAGCUGUUUUGGAAGGGCGACUGAGGGAGGUUCUUUUAAUCUUGUUCGGAGCCGAUUCCUGGUUUAUGUUCUCCUUUGUGUCCGUUGUUUCCAGCUGCGGCUAGCUUCGUGUUUUGAGAGAGCACCGUCUGCUAUUUUGCACCAAGCAUUAGCCGCGGAGCUUUCCUCCUGUUCCAUCCUU